rnacentral:lncRNA from 1 species
UAAAAAUCAGCAGCCGUGACAGCACUGGGCCCACAUCUCUGCAUGGCAACAGUCAUGUGUUGCUGCAUAACUGUUGCCCCUCCAGUGUGCCCCAGACCUCACCUUUCCCUGUUGUGUACCCCUCAGUUUUCUUACGCCUGACCCACUUCACUCAUUUCUGCUACCUUCCUGUGGGCCUUUAGGUUCCUAUCUCAUAACCUGGUCAGGAGGCUCCCUGUGUCCUACAAUUCUGGAUUCUUCAAAUGAAUGAGUGAAAAGAUGAAGAAGAUGGUUGACUAGUGAGUAAUGUAUUCCGUGGUCAGAACGUCUUCUGCUCCCUGCUGCUGCCGUCUCUGUCUUGGUCUCCCUCCUCUCCACCCCAUGAGCAUGAAGACAAAAUACCCAUAGAUGAGAUGAAAAGGAUAGAGGUGAAAAAGGACAGAGCAGAAGAAGGGGACCAAGUCCCCCCACCGUCUCAGCUUCCCUAAUUGAAUGACUCUCCUACCUGACUCUCCUGUCGGCUCCCAUGUUCCUUCAUUCUCCCUGAUGGCCCUGAAAUCAUCUCCCCCAUCUCAUCAAAUCUCUCCCCCUUCCUCCUGCUUGUUCUCUAAGCCGCAGAUUACUUUUUCAUAAAAUUCAA